rnacentral:lncRNA from 1 species
GAAAUAAAAACAUCAGUAGGAGGGGAAGGAGGAAGGAAGGAGAAGAAAGAGGAAGAAUAGGAGGAGAAGAGGAAGAGAGGAAGAAGUCGUGAACAGCCCUCCUGCAUUUUGCAUCAGGUAGAAAAGUCAGUUGAAUGUUGGGAAGAACACAAAUAAUCACAAGACCCUGGUUCCAGAGCGGUCCUGCUUUACACCGAAGGAAAGGAAUGUCAUACAGAAAGGCCAAGAAGAAUCUGAAGAGAUGUCCAAUCACCUUUUCACGUGGCUGCCCAUUCUUCAUUGAACCUAAGCAUUAAAAUAGACAGUUUCCCCUGGGUCUUUGGGUCUUCAUUUCUGAAGACUCCAUGUCAUGUAAAACUUUGAUUAAAUAAAUGUAUCAUGCA